CUGCUGCCUUCCGUAGGAGUCUGGUCCGUGUCUCAGUACCAGUGUGGGGGACCUUCCUCUCAGAACCCCUACGCAUCGUCGCCACGGUGGGCCGUUACCCCGCCGUCUAGCUAAUGCGCCGCAUGCCCAUCCUCUUCCGAUGAAUCUUUCCUCGACCUCGGAUGCCCGAAACCGAUAUACGCGGGAUUAGCCUCCCUUUCGGAAGGUUGUCCCCCUGAAGAGGGCAGGUUGCAUACGUGUUACUCACCCGUGCGCCGGUCGCCGGCAAAGG
rnacentral:rRNA from 1 species